GGCGCCAUGGCCCUCUACCUCUGCAUGGUGUAUGACUGUGGGCCCGAGAGAGCUCUUGAAUUAAAAGUCCUCUUGCAGUUUGCAGCAAGACCGUUUCUCAUGAGUGAUUUGGGGUCGCCUCUCCUGAGUCAGAAUGUGGGGGGAGUCCUCACAUUGUGGGUCUUUCAAGAUGAAUAUUUUUUUAAGGAUUAUAUGCAUGUGACUCAUGUUUUGACUUCUAAGACCAUUUCCUUCAUGUCUGUGCUUCCCAUCUGUGCUUCCCAGGAUGGAGACAUUGGCAGUUAAAUCUGCCCCAGAUGGUAGAAGCAGUGCACUCCCUGCAUGUCUAAUGAUGCUCAGAGGAUGGCUGCUGCUCUCACUACAUUAAUAGCAUUGGCAGGUGCUGCUCACGUCUCCUGGCUUUUGUGAGGUGACUGUCACAAAUACAGUUGUCCCCGCCUUAGGAAUGAGGACUGUCUUCCUACCUUCUGGAAAUGUCUCAACUGUGCUUGCUCCUGUAUGGGUGAAUUUCACUGAUUGGCUGCUGCACUCUGGUGAGUCAGCUUCCUUUCUUGCAAAAUAAAAUCAUUUUCAUGGAG
rnacentral:lncRNA from 1 species